GUGGGGAAUUUUGGACAAUGGGCGCAAGCCUGAUCCAGCAAUGCCGCGUGCAGGAAGAAGGCCUUCGGGUUGUAAACUGCUUUUGUACGGAACGAAACGGUCCGGGUUAAUACCCUGGGCUAAUGACGGUACCGUAAGAAUAAGCACCGGCUAACUACGUGCCAGCAGCCGCGGUAAUACGUAGGGUGCAAGCGUUAAUCGGAAUUACUGGGCGUAAAGCGUGCGCAGGCGGUGCUGUAAGACAGGCGUGAAAUCCCCGGGCUCAACCUGGGAAUUGCGCUUGUGACUGCAGUGCUGGAGUACGGCAGAGGAGGAUGGAAUUCCGCGUGUAGCAGUGAAAUGCGUAGAUAUGCGGAGGAACACCGAUGGCGAAGGCAGUCCCCUGGGCCUGUACUGACGCUCAUGCACGAAAGCGUGGGGAGCAAACAGGAUUAGAUACCCCAGUAGUCC
rnacentral:rRNA from 1 species